UCGAGGAUCUUCGGCAAUGGGCGCAAGCCUGACCGAGCGACGCCGCGUGUGCGAUGAAGGCCUUCGGGUUGUAAAGCACUGUCGAGGGGGAGGAAAGCCCGCAAGGGUCUGACCUAGCCCUGGAGGAAGCACGGGCUAAGUUCGUGCCAGCAGCCGCGGUAAGACGAACCGUGCGAACGUUGUUCGGAAUCACUGGGCUUAAAGGGCGCGUAGGCGGCUUGUCCAGUCGGGGGUGAAAUCUUUCGGCUCAACCGGAAAAGUGCCCCCGAUACUGACAGGCUCGAGCGAGGUAGGGGCAGGGGGAACUUCCGGUGGAGCGGUGAAAUGCGUUGAUAUCGGAAGGAACGCCGGUGGCGAAAGCGCCCUGCUGGACCUCAUCUGACGCUGAGGCGCGAAAGCCAGGGGAGCAAACGGGAUUAGAUACCCCUGUAGUCC
rnacentral:rRNA from 1 species